UACGUAGGUGGCAAGCGUUGUCCGGAAUUAUUGGGCGUAAAGCGCUCGCAGGCGGUCUUUUAAGUCUGAUGUGAAAUCUUACGGCUCAACCGUAAGCGGUCAUUGGAAACUGGAGGACUUGAGUACAGAAGAGGAGAGUGGAAUUCCACGUGUAGCGGUGAAAUGCGUAGAGAUGUGGAGGAACACCAGUGGCGAAGGCGACUCUCUGGUCUGUAACUGACGCUGAGGAGCGAAAGCGUGGGGAG
rnacentral:rRNA from 1 species